GAUAGAUAGUGUUUAUUGUAGUGGAAAGAGGAGAUCAUGAAAGCAUUUCUUAGGUGAGCGGCUUCAAAUAGGUCAACAAUCCUUUCAGCCACAAAAGAGUUAAAUGACAAAGGGACAGAUGAAUUUAUAAUUGACACAAGGCAAAGGUACACAGGGGAAGGAAGAGAUUCUCAGGGAACUGGAAGCAUCAGAACUCUUGCAGGCCUUAAGGAUAUUCAGAGUGCCAUCAAAGAGCGAUAGAAAGGAAACAGAAAGGAUGUGCUAAAGAGAGAUAGAAGGAAAGCUCAAAGAAGCAUUGAUCAGGGAUGUGUAGGCGAGAGUGUCAGAGAUGCUGAGCAACCUUUUGAUCCAAUCCAUUCUGGUUUGUCUGGAUGGUGAAGGCUCGGCAUUCCUGACACCAUACAAUCAUAGAAUUCUAGAGUUGGAAGGGACCACAAGGGCCAUCAAGUCCAACCCUCUGCAAUGCAGGAAUCUCAACUACAGCAUCCAUGACAAAUGGCCAUUAGACGUUGAUCCAUGGUGUGCAUUUCAGGUACCAUUCCCCACACCCCGUUCCUGUGGGGGAUCACAAUCCCAUUCGAAAGAGAGACAAGCUCAUCUUCGUCUCAGUAUAGGAACUGUCGCUGGAUGAGAAGGGAGAUUGUAAGCAAAAGAAUUUGGUUGCAUCAGUGAAGGCAGCUGCAUUGCUGAUGAAGGAGCAAGCAUGCUAGCCUGAGUUAUCUGGGCAGGGGUGGGGUUGGGGAGAGUCGUGUUUGUUCCCUGUUUCAUAACAUCAAUCUCCAUCUCCACCCACACUGUCAUCGGCCUAAGUGUUCCGUCGGCUGCCCGUCAUACUUCAAUAGGCA
rnacentral:lncRNA from 1 species